UAUCAAUGGAUGUUGCCCACU
rnacentral:piRNA from 1 species